ACGGCCAUAGCACAUUGAAAACACCGGUUCUCGUCCGAUCACCUAAGUUAAGCAAUGUCGGGCCCGGUCAGUUCCUGGGAGGUGAUAUAUAUC